GGUUCGUCCUGGAAAUGGCCCAUGACUCAAGAGCUGCUGGGAGCCACAAAGAUGGAUGACAGCACGAGGCAGCACAGACACAUCCAUGGAGAGGUGGAGAGAGAAUCGGCCACCGUCCCCAGCAGCGAUCCUCCUCAUCCUCCCAGUGACCUAAGCCAAUUGACAUAUUGUUUGCUUAAACCUAUUUGAGUUGGGUUUCUGUCAUUUGCAAAUAAAAGAGUUCUGAGUAAUACAGCAACCCAAGUCUAAUAAGGCAAUGCUGCAGCUGGGUGUGGCAUCAGUGGGCACAGGACGCCCAAGGCUCAUAGACCAAUAGCCCUGUAAGAGUCCUUGGUCAUCGUCUAAGCCAGUGUUCCCCAAGGACCAUCACCAUUUUCCAAAGAUGGGAAGAUGGUUUGACCCAAAGCAAGAACCAGACCCAUCUGACCUUAGAGAUCCAUCACCCCUUGGAGACCCAUCUCUCCUUGGAGACCCAUCUGCCUUACCAGCCUGCUGGAUGGAACCUUUGUGCCAGCCAAUCCUUGGGUUCCUAAGGGAGAACAUUAAAGAGAAGAAAACAUCAAGCUCGGAGCUGGGCUGAGGAAGGCUAUAAAAGCCCAUAGAAUGCUAAGUCUCAGAUUCUUCAUCCGCAAAAUGGGAAUUAAAUCUACUGCAAAGGUUGUUGGAAGAGUUAAAAUGGGAUCAUGAAUGUAAAAUGCACGUCAUGAUAUAACACGAACAAAGAGAGCCCGGAGAAAAACAGAACCCUUUCCCUACAGCAGAGAACUGCACCAAUUUUAUUGAGCUCCUGUUCCAACUGGAGAGAGAAGCUUCCUUGAUUUAUGCGUCUGAUAAUAAAAGAGGUGCCAAUUACAAGACGUUUACUACUGUUGAUUAGUUCCGUGUUGCUGGAAACUAGGUCUGUCGAAAAGAUAAAACGACACCACAUCAUUUCCACGUGGCUUUGGUGCAUUCCUUUUUA
rnacentral:lncRNA from 1 species